AUUGAACGCUGGCGGCAGGCCUAACACAUGCAAGUCGAACGAGGGGCGGACGGGUUAGUAAUGUCUGUGCAACUGCCUGAGGGAUGGGGAUAAGUACCGGAAACGGUUGCUAAUACCGCAUACCAUCAACUGUGUCCAGAUGGGAUUAGCUAGUGGGUGGGGUAACGUCGCACCAAGGCGACGAGCCCGACUUGGUCUGAGAGGAUGACCAGCCACAACGGAACUGAGACACGGUCCAGACUCCUACGGGAGGCAGCAGUGGGGAAUAUUGCACAAUGGGCGAAAGCCUGAUGCAGCCAUGCCGCGUGUAUGAAGAAGGCCUUCGGGUUGUAAAGUACUUUAAGCGGGGAGGCGUUACCAGCAGAAGAAGCACCGGCUAACUCCGUGCCAGCAGCCGCGGUAAUAC
rnacentral:rRNA from 1 species